UCUCCGUUGGUGAACCAGCGGGGGGAUCAUUACCGAGUUUACAACUCCCAAACCCCAUGUGAACCUUACCAAACGUUGCUUCGGCGGGAUGCCCCGGGCGCGGGCCGCAAGGCCUCAGCCCCGGAACCAGGCGCCCGCCGGAGGCCCAAACCAAACUCUUGUUUUUGUAGAAUCUUCUGAGUGGCCUUUUAGGCAAAAAAUGAAUCAAAACUUUCAACAACGGAUCUCUUGGUUCUG
rnacentral:misc_RNA from 1 species